AUCAACUUUUUGAAUAAAAAUGAAAAAAUUGGUGUCAAUUUCGUUGAGUAUUUGGAUUCUCCAAAACAGGUUGUCAGAAAGUACAGGGUGUGUGAUGUGAUAAAACUAUUCAACCAGAAAUACAGUGAAGCUUGUGGGAAAACAUGCCGAGUACCUUAUUUAAAAGGAGGAUUUACUGUUACUGGUUUG